UGUUAACUAAAGUGGAUUCACUUUCUGAGCGGCAAGACAAACUUCAGUCUAUGCUUGAAGCUUUUCAACUUCAGUCCAUUUCCGAGCGAGAGCGUCUCUUUGCUCAACAGCAGCAGCUUCUUGAUGGCCAACAACAACUUUUUGCAGCUCUUGGAUUUCCACCACCAUCCUCUUCAUAACAUCCACCAUCUCCUUAGCACUCUAUUUUUU
rnacentral:lncRNA from 1 species